rnacentral:rRNA from 1 species
CCUACGGGUGGCAGCAGUGGGGAAUAUUGGACAAUGGGCGAAAGCCUGAUCCAGCCAUGCCGCGUGUGUGAAGAAGGCCUUCGGGUUGUAAAGCACUUUCAGUGGGGAAGAAAGCCUUGGGGCUAAUACCCUCGAGGAAGGACAUCACCCACAGAAGAAGCACCGGCUAACUCCGUGCCAGCAGCCGCGGUAAUACGGAGGGUGCGAGCGUUAAUCGGAAUUACUGGGCGUAAAGCGCGCGUAGGCGGUCUGAUAAGCCGGUUGUGAAAGCCCCGGGCUCAACCUGGGAACGGCAUCCGGAACUGUCAGGCUAGAGUGCAGGAGAGGAAGGUAGAAUUCCCGGUGUAGCGGUGAAAUGCGUAGAGAUCGGGAGGAAUACCAGUGGCGAAGGCGGCCUUCUGGACUGACACUGACGCUGAGGUGCGAAAGCGUGGGUAGCAAACAGGAUUAGAACCCGGGUAGUC